UUUCCAUUCACGCGAACAUUGGACUCCUUCAGCAAUUUACCCUCAAGCCCAACGUCCAAAGUCGAAAAAGUUCACCGACCCACCAUUUUAUCAAUGGAUCAAGUAAAAACUGGUCCUACUUCAAGACAUGCUGUGAUGAGACUAUUUUUCCCUGGUUGUGUGAUGAAUAAUCUAUGCCCUCGUCAAAUUUGGUGAGGUACACAUCUCUAGUAAAAAGUGCACAUCUCUGAGAAGCAACGUCUGUUAUCAGAACAGUUGUAUGAAUUGAGAUGAAGCCUGUAUUUCGCCUUACCUAUCGUGUGUGUAAUUUUAAAUACAGUCUUUAUAGUCUCUUUAUAGUUCUAAAAGUGUUAAAAGGGUUAAAAUGUGCCAAGAAUUGCCAAAGACAGAGCAUCGCAAUCAGAAUGGUCGACGAUGACCGGUCGAUGAUACCAAGGAAACAUUACAAUUGUAACUUUUAUUUGAGCAUUGAUACAUCUAAUAUGCUUCUACUAUAAUAAAGGGUCUUGUCAAUUCCAACUAUGCGACUUUCAUUGUUUGACUUGAUCUGCAGGUUCAAGACAACACAAAGAACAAGAAAGCAAAAUUUAUUCUUUAGUGUGUUGAUUUUGUAGAGUAGACAAUAAAAACACGAAUCCUU